rnacentral:rRNA from 1 species
GAUUAAGCUAUGAAGAGCGUAGGGUGGAUGCCUUGGCACUAGGCGCCGAAGAAGGACGUGAUAAGCUGCGAAAAGCCACGGGGAAGUGCAAAUGACUUUUGAUCCGUGGAUAUCCGAAUGAGGGAACUCAGCGCAGGUAAUGCUGCGUUAUCGAUACCUGAACACAUAGGGUAUACGAAGGGAACCCGGGGAACUGAAACAUCUUAGUACCCGGAGGAAGAGAAAGAAAAGAAUCGAUUUUCUGAGUAGUGGUGAGCGAAAGGGAAAGAGCCCAAACCGUAAUAUAGAAAUAUAAGACGGGGUAUGGACACUGUUUAGCACGGACCGUUGUAGUUGAAUUCAACUGGAAAGUUGAGCCAUAGAGAGUAAGAGCCUCGUAGGCGAAACGACGGGAAGGCGAAGUGUAUCCGGAGUACCACAGGACACGAGGAAUCCGGUGGGAAUGCGGGAGGACCAUCUCCUAAGGCUAAAUACGACCUAGUGACCGAUAGAGUAUAGUACCGUGAGGGAAAGGUGAAAAGAACCCCGGGAGGGGAGUGAAAGAGAACCUGAAACCCUAUGCUUACAAGCAGACACAGCACUUUAGGGUGUGGUGUCGUACUUUUUGUAGAACGGGCCGGCGAGUUACGGUGUGUAGCGAGGUUAAGGUAUUCAGUACCGAAGCCGAAGCGAAAGCGAGUUUGAAUAGAGCGAAUAGUUGCAUGCCGUAGACCCGAAACCGAUUGACCUAACCAUGAGCAGGUUGAAGCAGUGGUAAGACACUGUGGAGGACCGAACACACGUUCGUUGAAAUGACCGGUGAUGACUUGUGGUUAGCGGAGAAAUUCCAAACGAAAUCGGAUAUAGCUGGUUCUCCUCGAAAUAGCUUUAGGGCUAGCCUCUAUACAGAGUACCGAAGGUAGAGCACUGAAUAGCCUAGGGGGUUUCACGACUUACCGAAGCUUAUCAAACUUCGAAUGACGGAUACUUGAUUAUAGGGAGUCAGACAGCGAGAGAUAAGUUCCGUUGUCAAAAGGG